CAGUCGCCGCGGUAAUACAGAGGGUGCGAGCGUUAAUCGGAUUUACUGGGCGUAAAGCGUGCGUAGGCGGCUUUUUAAGUCGGAUGUGAAAUCCCUGAGCUUAACUUAGGAAUUGCAUUCGAUACUGGGAAGCUAGAGUAUGGGAGAGGAUGGUAGAAUUCCAGGUGUAGCGGUGAAAUGCGUAGAGAUCUGGAGGAAUACCGAUGGCGAAGGCAGCCAUCUGGCCUAACACUGACGCUGAGGUACGAAAGCAUGGGGAGCAAACAGGAUUAGAUACCCCCGUAGUCCCUGUCUCUUAUAC
rnacentral:rRNA from 1 species